CAGUAUCAUGUUGAAACAUUGGUUCCCAUACAAUCUCUGAAGUUAAGCAACAUUGAGCCUGGUCAGUGCCUAAAUGGGCGACCACUUGAGAAUGUCAGUUGCUGUAC